rnacentral:tRNA from 1 species
AAGGAAAUGGCAGAUCGGCUAUGUGGUUAACUUGAAAUUAUUAUAAGGGAGUUCAAUUCUCUCUUUCCUUG